rnacentral:misc_RNA from 1 species
UUUCCGUAGGUGAACCUGCGGAAGGAUCAUUAUCGAGUUUUGACUGGGUUGUAGCUGGCCUUCCGAGGCAUGUGCACGCCCGAGUGUGUCCUCUUGCAUAAUAAUCCAUCUCACCCUUUGUGCAUCACCGCGUGGGCACCCUUCGGGAUCAUCUCGGAGGGGGGCUCGCGUUUUCACACAAACCCCCCUCUUAAAAGUGUAGAAUGACCACAUUUUUGCAAUCAAUACAACUUUCAACAACGGAUCUCUUGGCUCUC